AGAGUUUGAUCAUGGCUCAGGACGAACGCUGGCGGCGUGCCUAAUACAUGCAAGUAGAACGCUGAAGAGAGGAGCGUGCUCUUCUUGGAUGAGUUGCGAACGGGUGAGUAACGCGUAGGUAACCUGCCUUGUAGCGGGGGAUAACUAUUGGAAACGACAGCUAAUACCGCAUAACAAUGGAUGACACAUGUCAUUUAUUUGAAAGGGGCAAUUGCUCCACUACAAGAUGGACCUGCGUUGUAUUAGCUAGUAGGUGAGGUAAUGGCUCACCUAGGCGACGAUACAUAGCCGACCUGAGAGGGUGAUCGGCCACACUGGGACUGAGACACGGCCCAGACUCCUACGGGAGGCAGCAGUAGGGAAUCUUCGGCAAUGGGGGCAACCCUGACCGAGCAACGCCGCGUGAGUGAAGAAGGUUUUCGGAUCGUAAAGCUCUGUUGUAAGUCAAGAACGGGUGUGAGAGUGGAAAGUUCACACUGUGACGGUAGCUUACCAGAAAGGGACGGCUAACUACGUGCCAGCAGCCGCGGUAAUACGUAGGUCCCGAGCGUUGUCCGGAUUUAUUGGGCGUAAAGCGAGCGCAGGCGGUUUGAUAAGUCUGAAGUUAAAGGCUGUGGCUCAACCAUAGUUCGCUUUGGAAACUGUCAAACUUGAGUGCAGAAGGGGAGAGUGGAAUUCCAUGUGUAGCGGUGAAAUGCGUAGAUAUAUGGAGGAACACCGGUGGCGAAAGCGGCUCUCUGGUCUGUAACUGACGCUGAGGCUCGAAAGCGUGGGGAGCGAACAGGAUUAGAUACCCUGGUAGUCCACGCCGUAAACGAUGAGUGCUAGGUGUUGGAUCCUUUCCGGGAUUCAGUGCCGCAGCUAACGCAUUAAGCACUCCGCCUGGGGAGUACGACCGCAAGGUUGGAACUCAAAGGAAUUGACGGGGGCCCGCACAAGCGGUGGAGCAUGUGGUUUAAUUCGAAGCAACGCGAAGAACCUUACCAGGUCUUGACAUCCCGAUGCUAUUUCUAGAGAUAGAAAGUUACUUCGGUACAUCGGUGACAGGUGGUGCAUGGUUGUCGUCAGCUCGUGUCGUGAGAUGUUGGGUUAAGUCCCGCAACGAGCGCAACCCCUAUUGUUAGUUGCCAUCAUUCAGUUGGGCACUCUAGCGAGACUGCCGGUAAUAAACCGGAGGAAGGUGGGGAUGACGUCAAAUCAUCAUGCCCCUUAUGACCUGGGCUACACACGUGCUACAAUGGUUGGUACAACGAGUUGCGAGUCGGUGACGGCGAGCUAAUCUCUUAAAGCCAAUCUCAGUUCGGAUUGUAGGCUGCAACUCGCCUACAUGAAGUCGGAAUCGCUAGUAAUCGCGGAUCAGCACGCCGCGGUGAAUACGUUCCCGGGCCUUGUACACACCGCCCGUCACACCACGAGAGUUUGUAACACCCGAAGUCGGUGAGGUAACCUUUUGGAGCCAGCCGCCUAAGGUGGGACAGAUGAUUGGGGUGAAGUCGUAACAAGGUA
rnacentral:rRNA from 1 species